rnacentral:rRNA from 1 species
AUGAGCGCUGGCGGCGUGCCUAAUACAUGCCAGUCGAGCGCACAGACGAGGAGCUUGCUCCUCUGACGUUAGCGGCGGACGGGUGAGUAACACGUGGAUAACCUACCUAUAAGACUGGGAUAACUUCGGGAAACCGGAGCUAAUACCGGAUAAUAUAUUGAACCGCAUGGUUCAAUAGUGAAAGACGGUUUUGCUGUCACUUAUAGAUGGAUCCGCGCCGCAUUAGCUAGUUGGUAAGGUAACGGCUUACCAAGGCAACGAUGCGUAGCCGACCUGAGAGGGUGAUCGGCCACACUGGAACUGAGACACGGUCCAGACUCCUACGGGAGGCAGCAGUAGGGAAUCUUCCGCAAUGGGCGAAAGCCUGACGGAGCAACGCCGCGUGAGUGAUGAAGGUCUUCGGAUCGUAAAACUCUGUUAUUAGGGAAGAACAAAUGUGUAAGUAACUAUGCACGUCUUGACGGUACCUAAUCAGAAAGCCACGGCUAACUACGUG